rnacentral:misc_RNA from 1 species
GAAAUGCGAUACGUAAUGUGAAUUGCAGAACUCCGUGAAUCAUCAAAUUCUUGAACGUAAAUGGCGGUGCCCAACUCUUCGGGGUUGGACACCACAUCUGUGUGAGCGUCAUUUAAAUCACAAUAUCCCGCAUGCCCCGUGGUGUGUGUGCGAUGAUGUGGCGGUUCCAGCUGCUUGCAUUUAAUGCCGGUGGCUGAAUCCGUUCAAGUGAGCAAGGACGCGCGUGCCACACAAUGGCUCGUCUGCGCCUCCUGAUAUAGUAUUGGAAACUCCUACACUGCAUCAGAAGCGCAAACACGGUCAUGGUACGAACAACGCAGCCUUGAAUGCACUCCUUCGGGAGCCUUCAAAUAUGACCUCAUAUCAGGUGAGAAGACCCGCUGAAUUUAA